AUAUAUCUGUUUACUGUUAGUUGUAAAGAGUGUUUCUGUGUACUUCGCUGUGUAUGUUGAUGUUAAUGCAAGGUAGAUAUUAGAGAAAGUUAGAGAAAGGUAAAGAAAGGAAAGGUAGAGAAAGUUUAUGGAUGAUAUUUUAAUGUUUUAUUUUAAUGUUCACUUGUUUUAUUAAGCUCUUACAGAGGUUUUCUAGAGAGAAAACGGAAGCUUCACCUUUUGUGUGAAGUACAAUAAACAUCAUAAAACUCAUCUGUAAAGUUUUGGCCAUCAUUCGGACGGGGUCCGGUACAACAGGCUUGUACUAAUAUAGUGGAAGAAGACUUGUCAUACAGAAUAAAUUAUAACCGUAAUUGAACUAAACUAUAUGUGUUCUAUCUCCAUGCAGCAUGUAUUCGCAGUUUCUGACAUUAUAGUGUGUCCUGACUGACUCCUGUCACCGGAGAAUCAGCUCUUGAAGCUCCGACCUCUUACCUCAUUUGCAUUUAAAGGACACACACUGAAACGGCACGUUUUUGCUCAACCCCAAAAAGUGGCAAUUUUAACAUGCCAUAAAAAAUUAUCUGUUGGGUAUUUUGAGCUAAAACUUCACAUACACACUCUGGGGACAUCAGAGACUAAAUUUACAUCUUGUAAAAUGGGGCAUAAUAGGUCCCCUUUAAACCUCCUCACAGCUCCACAUUACUCAAGAGUGCAAUUUUUUUUUUAAAUACAAAAAAAAAAAUUAAAAAAAAUCACUACACAAAAAUCUCAGUGCAAAAAGAUAGAAAAUCAAAAAUACAAGUCAUGUAACACAAUAUCAAAGUGUUAUCAUACAAUACAAUACGACAAUGGGAAUACUGUACAAAAAGAACAAAACAACAUAAGUACAUUUUUAUAUUACCCACUUACAUAUCAUUUGAGGGAAAUGAGAGAAAAUAACACUCACAUCACAAUGAGCUCCUACAUAACACCACAUUCACUUUACAAAAGCUGAAAUCCCCAACAUAAUAUUGUACACUGUGUAAAGAAUCACAUCAAAUACAAAUCACAUGAAAAGCACAAAAACAUUUGCAAAAUGAAGUGUAUAACAUUUCUUAAUGCUAAAUGAACAGGCCAACAUGGUGUUACGUUAUAUUGUAAAUGACAUAACUUUUCAAAUAUGACAGUUCUCCUAAUUAACACAACAAAAUAUACAUCCACAAUUGGUAUUGAUCCAAAAUAUAUUCAUAAAACAUUGUAUUUUACCAUGGAUAUUCACAAAAACUCCACAAUUCCCAGAGAUUGCGCAUUGCUCGCAAUCUCAUAGAUUUCCCAGUGUGAGAGCGCAUGCACACUGUCUCAUACACAAUGCACAGUGCAACCUGCUGACGACUCCAGGAAAAUACAGGGCCCGAGCACCCAGAAUGCGUUCAUCCCAGCCCUUGUUCACUCCGGCGCCAUAACACCAGGGACCUUGGUUUCUUCAGCAGUGGAAGGCGCGAGCCAGGCCUCGGACCAGGACCUCUCCCUCUCCGCCGCCCCUGGUCUUUGAGGUCUCGAAGAGGAGCCACUUCUCCCCUCUUCGCGAGGCGGAACACGGAGACUCUAUUGUCCAUCAUGUCCACGCUACCACAAUCAAAGGUAAGAUGCGCAUUCACUGUUUUCCUGGUGCUCGUGUUCUCGAUGUUGCUGCGCAGGUACCCGCGAUCCUGAAUGAUGAUGAGAGCAUCGGAGCUGUUGUUCUGCACGCGGGGGUGAAUGACACCAGGCUGUGGCAGACGGAGGUGCUGAAGUAGGACUUCAGGAGCCUGAUCGAGAUGGUACGAGCCACAUCGCCUGCAACGAGGAUCAUCGUAUCUGGACCGCUUCCGACGUACCGACGUGGACGUGAAAGGUUCAGUAGAUUAUUUGCUUUAAAUGAAUGGUUAAUGUCUUGGUGUAAUGAACAGCAGCUGCUCUUUAUAAAUAAUUGGAAUCUUUUCUGGGAGCGACCUAGGCUCUUCCGUGCUGAUGGCCUGCACCCCAGCAGAAUCUGAGCUGAUAUUCUGUCGGAGAACAUAUCAAAGAUGCUUCGCACCCUAUGACUAGAGGAAGCAUGUGUGGAGGCGGUAAAUGACAACAAUGCAGGAAACAUGGAGGAGGAAAAUGCAGGGCAGUGGUCGACGGCUGAAGUUACCUGCCUUCUACGGAGCCCCGCACAUGACAUGCAGGAAAAAAAAGAGGGAACGGAGACGCAACGUUGGUUACCGACGAAUUGGGGAAUCUCCUCAAAAAGACCUGUAACUCUACUGAUAAGGGCACGUAAAUCAGCAAGACCUGGGCUUCAGCAAUUGAUGCAUGGUGGUGGAAGGUUUACAAUCUCCAGCCCUAUGUCAGGAUACCCCUCAUUCAAGCCAUGAAGGAGCCUGUGACCUAAUUGUUGCAGUGUCUGUGCAAGGAUGGAUUCACCAUUCAAGAAGAUUCUUCCCUCACCAGAGAGGACAUCGCCUGUGAUGUGGAUGAAGUGCUAUGGCCAGAUCCAGCUAGGCGAAGAGAUGAUGCUUAGGUGUUUUUUCUAUAUAUAUAUUAUUUUUUUUCCCCCAUUUAAAAUUUGUAUUUAGAACAUGUUCUGAUUUUCAGUGCAAAAUGCAACCUUUGGAAAGGCAUGGCUGUAUUGAAUGAUUUACAAUGUGGUGAGAAAUAAAUAUUUUCAUCAAUGUACAGUACUGGUGUGUGUGUGCGUGUGUGAGUGUGUGCGUGUGUGUGUGUGUGUGUGUGUGUACUUGUUUUGCCUAUACUUGUGAGGACCAAAUGUCCUCACUUACAUUGUGAAAUGCUUUCACAACCCACUAGUGAGGACAUUGACUGGUCCUCACUAAUUUUAUGUCAGCCAAAAGAGGUUUUUAAGUCUAAUGAAGAUAGCAAAACAAACCUGUGUG